GUGUACUUUGUUUUGGUCUUUAGCUUAUUAUGAAGUAAUGAGAGACUAUGCUUUUGUCUUCAGAAAGCAAAUUGUAAGAAUUUUGCUCUACCUAUUACUACUCCCUCUGUCCCAAUUUAUAUGACUCACUUUCCUUUUUAGUCAGUCCCAAAAAGAAUGACACAUUUCUAUUUUUAGUAACAAUUUGCCUAUAAAAUGUCUUUUUUACCCUUAAUGAAAUGAUUUACAACCACACAAAUUUCUAUCAUUCAUUUUGGACCACAAGUUUUAAAAGUCUUUCCAUUUUUCUUAAAGUUUGUGCCAAAUCAAAGUACAUCACAUAAAAUGGGACGGAGGGAGUACUUUUUUAACAAGUAAUUCUGGUGCUUCACAUCAAGAAACCCAAUUUUGUUAAAGUAGUUACUAUCAGGUAGCUUUAAUUUAAGAUCCUAAUUAAGGUCUUGUGAAAUUGACUAUGCUUGCAAGUUAUUUGGUCCCAAUAACAGUUUUGGAAGUCACAAAAUUUAGACAUAUUUUAGUCUUGGAAAUUGGAAAGGAAUCACUUGGAAAGGAAGAUUGUUAUUUGAUUCAACACUGGCAAUGCAUCUUCUUCUGCUUUUGGGAAAGUUUCACUAUGUUGGUACAGUAGCUAAGAAGUUUUGGUUAAAUCUUCUCUUAGAAAUCACUUCAUUAUAAUGUAGACACAGUUCCCUAGAAAGGGGAGAAGAAACAAAAAACUACAAGAGGGAUGAAAAAGACAAUUCCAAUUUGUUAAUAUUUUUUUUGUAAGAUAUUUUAAGUUAGUAGUAAUACGUGUUGACUAAUUGGAUAAAUAUCACAUUGAUAUUUUUGGGGCAAGAGGGUG
rnacentral:lncRNA from 1 species